rnacentral:tRNA from 1 species
UCCCUGGCAGUCUAGCAGUUAGAACUCUGCACUUACAAUGCAGGAGGUGCAGGUUCAAUCCCUGCUCAGGGAA